GCCCUUGUAGCUCAGCAGGUAGAGCGCCUGAUUUGUAAUCAGGAGGUAACGGGUUCGAGUCCUGUCGGGGGCA
rnacentral:tRNA from 1 species